rnacentral:misc_RNA from 1 species
AAAAAUAUGCAACUAUUGGUGUCGUAAGUGUUUCUUUCAUCACAGAAAUUUGUGAGGAUAAAAGGCCUAUUCAUUUUCUGAUAAAUAAACUGUUAUCAUAUUGCUAAACAAUUACUCGAAGAAGCUCUCAUUCAAUGGCAAGAGAGGACUUCGAGAUAAGCAAAAUGAUAACAGUGGUCAAAAUGAUAAAUCAAUCAUCCUAAACUAGACCUUGUGACUUCAUAUGCCAAGAAACAUGCUGCAUUUGCAGGCACGCUUCGGGCCAUAGCAGGGCCAAAACCCUUAUACAAGCCUUUGACACCCUCCGAUGCCAGGAUCUUUCUAAAAGCGUCAAUGGAGCCUCUGAACUUGGGAUUUCUGUAAUCAUCUACCUGAAUUACACUCUUGACUACAUCGGUAGGGUAUACCAUUAGCCAAAAAGAUCCUCCAGCCAAGCCUCCAGCUAACAUCAGAGAGCCCCUGCCCAAUUGAGAAGUAUCCUGGCCUCCUGCCAAGGAUUGCUUCAGUAAUUCAUAGACACCAAACAUAAUAGCAUUUCCUGGAACCUCACGUCCCAAAGUGGGUACCAAGCCCUUGAAAAGACCCCUCAUACCACCUUCAGAUUUGAUAACAUGCCUGGCCACGUCCAUUGGUCCACCAUACUUCACUGCCACAGCUUCUGGGCCAGAACCAGCUAAGGCACUUUGCGCUUGCAGCCUGCACUUAAUCAACUCAGUAGGGCAAGCAAGGAGAGAAACAGCAACUCCAGCUCCUGCCCCACAAACAAUCUGCUGGCUAACGGUGAGUGGAGCACCAGGUUGAGAUCUCAACAAUGCCUCCAUUUGUCCCCUCACGGUGAAAAGGACAGCAUUGAAGGUUGAAGACUGCCACAGUAGCAAGUGGAGCCCCCAUACCCUUGUAUAAACCCCUUGGGCCUUCAGCAGCCAAAGUCUGCCUGACAGCAUCCAUUGCACCUGCAUAUUUAGGAGGCUGGCCAGGUUGUGGAGCAGGCUGGCUCUGAAGCUUGACCUUGAUGG